GGCAGUUUGGCGGAGUGGUCUAACGCGCUAGACUGUGCGUAUCAUCUUAAUCAAUUACUACGGAACUAUUUAACUAACUUACUCCAGUGAACAAACACAUUCAUGUUAUCUAGUCCUUUCGAGGGCGCAGGUUCGAACCCUGCAACUGUCG
rnacentral:tRNA from 1 species